AGAUAUUCACAGUAGCAUUUAUGCUUCUCACUGCAUCAAAAUUAUAGUAGUUAUUAGAUCUCCCACAAUGUGUCAUGCCUGUAGUCCCAGCAUUUUCGGAGGCCAAGGGGGUUGGAUCACUUGAAGUCAGGAGUUUGAGACCAGCCCAGCCAACAUGGUGAAACCCCAUCUCUACUAAAAAUACAAAAAUCAGCCAGGUGUGGUGGUGUGCACCUAUAAUCUCAACUACUCGGGAUGCUGAGGCAGGAGAAUCGCUUGAACCCAGGACAUUGAGGUGGCAGUGAGCUGAGAUCACUCCAUUGCACUCCAGCCUGGGCAACAAGAGCAAAACUCUGUCACACACACACAAAAACAAUGCAUUUCAGUAUCAUUGGUUUGUUUUAUAAUUGUGAGUGUUUUCGUUUAGGCAUUUAAAAAAUAUUAUUCUGGCUGGCUGCGGUAGCUCAUGCCUGUAAUCCCAACAGUUUGGGAGGCCAAGGUGGGCUCAUGCUUGUAGUCCCAGCAUUUUGGAAGGCCAAGGGUGGUGGGAUCACUUGAGGUCAGGAGCUAGAGACCAUCCUGGCUAACAUGGUGAAACUCCAUCUCUACUAAAAAUACAAAAAUUAGCUGGGUAUGGUGGCAUGUGCCUGUAGUCCCAGCUACUCGGGAGGCUGAGGCAGGAUAAUUCGCUUGAACCCAGGAGGCAGAGGCUGCAGUCAGCCGAGAUUAUGCCAGCCUGGUGACAGAGCCAUACUGGUCUCAAAAAAAAAAAAGAAAAAAUUCUAAGAAGGGGUCCCUGAGCUUCAGCUAGUCCAAGGGCAUCCAAGGCACAUAAAAGGUUGGAAUCCCCUGCACUAGGGGAGAUGCUAGCAGGCUAGGCCCUGGUUCUGUGGCAACGUUACCUUGUCUCCAGUGUUGCUACCUCUGCAUCUGCGUCUUAAGUCUGUCCCUACAGGUCCCUGAUCCAGGGUGCCAGGUCUGCCUAUAAUAGAGUCUUGGUCUGUAGGUAAUGGUAACACAGGCAGCAGCUGUCACCAAAAAGUUUCUCCAGCCUGAUUCAGAGGAUACACAAGAAGCUCUGGACACUGGAGUGCCGCGUCAAUCUAAGCCUCACUUAGCAACUCCACCCGCAAGCCAGCUCCAGAGAACUGUUAUAGAUUCUCUGUCUUUGGCCCAGGCUGGAGUGCAGUGGUGCAAUCUGCAACCUCCCCUCUCCUGA
rnacentral:lncRNA from 13 species